AACUACGUUCCCGGGCCUUGUACACACCGCCCGUCACACCACGAAAGUCGGCAACACCCGAAGCCGGUGGCCUAACCCGUAAGGGAGGAGCCGUCGAAGGUGGGGUCGGUGAUUGGGGUG
rnacentral:rRNA from 1 species